AAUAUGCAUACUUACAUAUAAAAAUGAGAAAGACUAGGUUUUAAUUCUUGUAAAUAUAAUCUCAUUUAUAUAAUGAGGUUGUCAUAUGCAUAUUAACAUAUGAAAAUGAGAAAUACUAGGUUUUAAUUCUUUUAAAUAUAAUAUCAUUUAUAUAAUGAGGUUGUAAAUAUGUAUAUUUACAUAUGCAAAUGAGAAAUACUAGGUUUUAAUUCUUCUAAAUAUAAUCUCAUUUAUAUAAUGAGGUUGUCAUAUGCAUAUUAACAUAUGAAAAUGAGAAAGACUAGGUUUUAAUUCUUGUAAAUAUAAUCUCAUUUAUAUAAUGAGGUUGUAAAUAUGUAUAUUUACAUAUGAAAAUGAGAAAUACUAGGUUUUAAUUCU
rnacentral:lncRNA from 1 species